rnacentral:rRNA from 1 species
CCUACGGGAGGCUGCAGUGGGGAAUAUUGGACAAUGGGCGAAAGCCUGAUCCAGCCAUGCCGCGUGUGUGAAGAAGGCCUUCGGGUUGUAAAGCACUUUCAGUGGGGAAGAAAGCCUUGGGGCUAAUACCCUCGAGGAAGGACAUCACCCACAGAAGAAGCACCGGCUAACUCCGUGCCAGCAGCCGCGGUAAUACGGAGGGUGCGAGCGUUAAUCGGAAUUACUGGGCGUAAAGCGCGCGUAGGCGGUCUGAUAAGCCGGUUGUGAAAGCCCCGGGCUCAACCUGGGAACGGCAUCCGGAACUGACAGGCUAGAGUGCAGGAGAGGAAGGUAGAAUUCCCGGUGUAGCGGUGAAAUGCGUAGAGAUCGGGAGGAAUACCAGUGGCGAAGGCGGCCUUCUGGACUGACACUGACGCUGAGGUGCGAAAGCGUGGGUAGCAAACAGGAUUAGAUACCCCUGUAGUC